AGGAGGGGAAUAGCCACCUGAAAAGGUGAUUAAUACCCCAUAGUAGCUUCCUCUGAUGGGGAAGCUUUAAAGGUUUAUUCCGCCUAGGGAUUGGAAUAUGUUCUACUAGCUAGUUGGUGAGGUAAAGGCUCACCAAGGCAAUGAUAGAUAGCUGGUCUUAGAGGAUGAACAGCCACAAUGGGAUUGAGAUACGGCCCAUAUUCUUACGGGAAGCAGCAGUAGGGAAUUUUCCACAAUGGGCGAAAGCCUGAUGGAGCAAUGCCAUGUGAACGAUGAAGGCCUAUUUGGUCGUAAAGUUCUUUUAGAGGGGAAGACUUUGACGGUACCCUCUGAAUAAGUGACAGCAAACUAUGUGCCAGCAGCUGCGGUAAUACAUAGGUCGCGAGCGUUAUUCGGUUUUAUUGGGCGUAAAGCAAGCGCAGGCGGAUGAACAAGUUCUGUGUUAAAAGCAGCUGCUCAACAGUUGUUUGCACCGAAUACUGUUUGUCUAGAAUGUGGUAGGAAGUUUUGGAAUUAAAUAUGGAGCGGUGGAAUGUGUAGAUAUAUUUAAGAACACCAGAGGCGAAGGCGAAAACUUAGGCCAUCAUUGACGCUUAGGCUUGAAAGUGUGGGUAGCAAAUGGGAUUAGAUACCCCAGUAGUCCACACCGUAAACGAUGGGUAUUGGAUGUCGGAUCUUGAGAUUCGGUGUUGUAGCUUACGUGUUAAAUACCCCGCCUGGGUAGUA
rnacentral:rRNA from 1 species